rnacentral:tRNA from 1 species
GCCAGUGUGGUGUAGUGAUUUGAAUGUUGGACUAUGACUCUGGAGACCAGGGUUUGAUUCCCAGCUUGGCG